rnacentral:lncRNA from 1 species
AAAGAAGACAUUCAUUGAGACAUGGAGGGGAUAAGGGAGCAAAUAAGUAAAGUGCAGAUAAGUGAAGGGAACAGACAACAUGUUGGGCAGAAGUAAUCAGAUCUAUUUAAAAUAAAGGUUUAGCUAUUACUGUACUAAACCCCAAAAUAUAGUCAACCUCAUGGAGAGGUUUUAGAAUUGUUAAGUAGCCAAGCAGUAGUACACAUGGAGGAAGAACAUGCAUUGAGAUGGGGAGAGGGGAAUAGGGGAAAGACAUGCUAAGUUGAACUAAUAGACCAGUA